CUUCACUCUCGCGUUGUGUUUUGAUCGUUCGAAACUCAUUGCCAGAACGAAUGCAAAUUUCAUUUGGGAAGGAUUGGUGCUGGAAGAUGCAGCGAAAAUUAUAAAAUGUUUAUAGAAAAGUGGUUAAGUAAAUCGUGAAAGAUGUCAACGCAGGCGUAAAUGCAGUUUGUUUUGUCACUUGAUCUACGGCAAUUUCAUUACCAAAGCACCUGAUAACCGAUCAAAGAAGGUGAAUCGGGCUUACAGAGUCGCCGUUUAACAUUAAAUAUCUUCUUGAUCGGCAAACGCAUCAAACACCAAGUGUUUCUCUUCCAACAGCACGCGCCAUCGGUGGAGCAAGCAGCCAACGUUUCGUUCGUCUAGCACGCACCAUCAAGAAUUGAAAUAUUCCCGAAUAGCUCUGUGAAUAAAAAACUGCACACUUACUGUCCGAAU